GGAUUUCUUUUCUUCAUUUCAAUGGAGGGAGAGAAAAAGAGAGUAGUGGGAGGUUGGAUCUUUGCAUGCGCGUUUUACAUGGUUUGCUGGCUCGUUUAAUCUGUUCAGUUUCUACUCUUAAGUGGAUAUUGCAGCAUGCUGCUGUGGCCAUGGUGUUUUCUUCUAGUCUCAAGUUUUUUCUGGAAAAUGUCGUAGUUGCCAGGAGGAACAGGCAAAUGGCAAUGUACAAAAGUAUGAAAGAAUCUAAAUUGGGUGACUCUGAAGAACGCAGGGAGUGGAAAAUAGUGGCAAAGUGCCACGCCUUGGUGAAAUCAUCCUCCAUGUACUUGAAUAAGGUCUAUCUCCAUAGUCACUGAUCAGGUACUUUUCGGUUUUUUUUCCCUGUCAGUUGAAGCACCUUUUAUUUUCCAGCAAGUUUUUUUAAAAUAAUAUUUAAUAUUUAUUAAUAACAAUAAUAUCUUUGAAUAAUCUUAUCCAAAUCUGUAAUAAAAUCAAUGCAAAAUAAUAAUAAUAAAAAACCCUAUGGGAGAUUUAUGUAGAUUUUGUUUUUAAUGGCAUAAAGUAAUUAUAAUAUUUUGAAAAAAAUAGAAAGACCAGAAAACCCGGAUUUAAAGGCAUUAUAUUUAUUUUUAUUUUAAGAUUAAAGUACUAAUGCAAAAUAAAAAAAUAAAUUUAACCUCAUAAAAUAUAUUAAAAAUAAUUAUGUUAUGAUAAAAAGAUCAUAUUACCUUCAUUGGCUAAUUUUUGUUCAAGAGUAAUUUUAUAAUUAUACUAUUAUAAUAAAUAGUGUGUAGAGUCUUAAUGCACAACAACUUCCUUCUUAGGAGAAUUAGUUUUUUUUUUAUUAUUAAUUAGUGUUUUUCCUUCUCUUUUUUCUUUCAAUUUUUUUUUGGCUAGCCAUCUUUUAAGGUUGUGUUUUGCAUGCUGGAAAAAGAUGGACUUCAUAUAAUAAUUUUUUUGUGAAGUUAUUUGUUGUAAACAAAAAUCAAUUUUUGUCAUGUCCAAGGCUGUUCUAAUAAAAAAAUAUUUGUCCCACUAAGAGGGGUAGAACAAACUUGUCCAAUUCUCUACACAAAGGUUGUUAUUUAUGAAAUGAUUGUACUACCCUUCAUAUAAAAUCAAAAUUUUUAAAAGAAUCAAAUUGAGAUUCAAUCAGCGGGUUUUACUUGGAUCACAAGUCAACUUAGGAAAUUGACCAGGAACAAGGCCCGGGUCAUGAUUCUGAAGGAUUAACCUGUGUUUUCUCGGGUCACUAUAAGUAUAAAAGUGAUUAUCAUUAUAUUUUUAAAAUUCAACUUGAGAAUUGACCUGAGAUAAGAUCUGGGUCACGACGGGUUGACCAUUGACUCGAGUCAAUGUAAGGAUAAAAGUAGUUAUUAUUAUAGUUUUAAAACUCGACUCGAGGGUUGAGCUAUGACAAGGCUUUGGUCACGGGUGGUGGGGUCAACCCGAGUUAAGCCGAGUCAACAUAAGAAUAAAAAUGAUUAUUAUCAUAAUCUAAAAACACGACUCGAGGUCGACCUAGAGCAAGCCUGGGUUAAAAAAUAUGAGAGGGUUAACCUGGGCUGAUUCGGGUCAACAUAAGGAUAAAAAUGAUUAUUAUCAUAGUUUUAAAACCCGACUCAGGGGUCAAUUAAGGAAAAAGCCCAUGUCAUGGGUUAGGAGGGCCAACCCGGGUUGACUCAGGUCAAGAUAAGGAUAAAAAUGGUUAUUAUCUUGAUUUUAAAACCCGACUCGGGGGUCAACUUAGGAAAAAGCACGUGUCACGGGUUAGGAGGGUCAACCCGGGUUGACUCAGGUCAAGAUAAGGAUAAAACUUGACUUAGGGAUUGACCCUUGCUCAGGUCAAGAGGGUUAACCUAAGUUCACUCAAAUUGUUUUCUUAAAAAGGAAUAAAAUCAACCUCGUUUAACCAAAAAAUUCAAAAAAACUCAAUGGAUUUUUUACCCGUGUUUUUUCUCGGGUCGACCAGGUUAUAGGUUGACUUGAGCUUUUAACCGAGUUAGGUCUGAUCAAUCAUUCCUUUAUGUUUACUUAAACCUGUAUUGAUUAUUUAUUCGAUUUGUUCAAUGAGUGUGUUGAUUAAAUUUAAUAUUUUAUUUAAUAAAAUGAUAAUGAAAAUAAACACACAUAUAAAAUUGAUUGAAUAAAAUCAAAGAGAAAAUAAAAUAUCUCGCAAUGUUGCACUUAUUAAAAAUACUAUCUAAAAAUAAAUAAUUUUUAUUUUUUAAAAAUAAAGUUGAAUUAUAUAAAUUAUAAAAAUAUUAUAGAUGAAUUAGAAUAAUCUCUUCAAAAAAUAAAUACAUACAAAAUAAUUGAAAAAACAACCACUAUUUAAAAAUAGCUAAAUAUAAAAAAUAAAAAAUCAGAGAGAAUGAGUAUUAAUUGAUAUAUAUGAAAAGUACAAAAAAAAAAGACAGACCAAUGCCUAGCCCAUUUAGGAAGGGCCAGCAGGUGUACCCUUUUUGGUUUUUAAAUGUAAUUAAGGCAUACGACAUGUGGUCUGCCCCAAUAGUUUUUGAAAAAAAAUAUUUCAAAUGACGUGUCGUUUGUAAUUCUCCAGACUUUGGCCACAGUGGUGGCUAGAAAAGUAGGGUAUAUGUUUUUUUUUUAAAUUUAAAACCUUAUUUUCAACUUGUUUUAACUAAAACAUCUAGAAAAGAGAUUAAACACCUUUAAAAACCCAUAAAUGGCCUUAAAGACAAAAAAAAAAAAAAAAAAACCACUUCAAAACCCAUAAUCAAUUUGAAACAAAAAAUCUUACCUAGCUUAAAUUUGGUUUCUUAUGCAAUUUCAAGGUUAAAAAAACACUUAUACAGAAUACAUAACUCCUCUCACCAAAUGAAACCAUUUUACACUAAGAUUAACUAUUUUGGUGGGCGGAAUCAAUAGCAACGCUGAUUUUCUCUCCACUGCCAGUUUCUAGUGACUCUCUUUCUCCUUUCAAACCAAGAACUAAAAAAUAACAAAAAUUAAAUUUGUACCAAAAUUAAAUUAAAAAAAUAUUGAGAGACUUAAUUUAUAUAAUUUGUAAAGUUCGAGAACUAAAAUAAAUGUUUUGUGUGAACUAUGAUGCCAGAGACUUUUUAUGAGUUGGUAAUUUUUUAAAAGUUAUUAUCCAUUUUUAACUUUGAUUUUGAACUUCUCCUCUGGAAAAAAAAACAAAAAACAGAGCAAUCCUAUCGCUAAAUCAGACAAAUUUCUCAGAGAUGCAUGAAAUGCUCGCUUCCAUUUUCCAGCAAAUCCAGGAGGAUAUAGUGAAAUUUAUUGAGUUAAAUAACUUUGGACUUGUAAUCAAACUUGACAUUAAAAUGAUUAAUCCUAGGGUGUGUGAUUGGAGAACGUUUUUAAAAAAAUUUGAUUUUUUUUUGAAUUAUACAUUGGCAAUUGAUCAUAUAUAUUCCUAGAAAACUGCUUCUACAAAUAUCCCUUCCAUGCAUAGAUAUAAGACCCAGUCCUUGCACCUGGUGAAACCGAUGACCCAUAGUUCAGAGUUCGGCCUAGAUCAAACUUUCAAUAUUUUUUUUAUUAAAAUAAUAUUGUUUUUUAUUUGCAAAAAAAAAAAAAAACACUCGCAUCAACAAUUCUAAAAGUGUUUUUUUUUUAUAACCCGAGGUAUCUGGACUAGCUUACGCGCACCACGACUAAUUCCCGGAUCCACUGAACACCCUGCAAGCCCAGUAAACAAGUAAGGCACCACGGGAGUGACAGACAUGCACACUAAGGUUCGAACCUAGGAUGCAGAGGCAGGAAAUUCCCUGCCAGGAUCACUAGGCCACGAACCUGGGUUCUAAAAGUGUUUUUAGAUAAAUGGGUUGAACUGUCUAUCAAAUUAAUUUAUUAAACUCACAACUUAAUUGUAAUAGCUUUUUUAAUGGCAAAACUCGUUUAGAAUAGUCAAAUUGUUGAUUAGUUUUUUUAAAUAAUGUAAAUAUAAUUUUUUUAUAUGCACUCUAAUGGGAG
rnacentral:lncRNA from 1 species